UCUCAUCAGCUGUGACCACAUGACGUAGUGAAGCAGACGCACGGACGCUCGGUCUCCGCGGUUUUCCCACCGGUUCAUUUCAUGACUUUUAUGCACAUUUUAUUGAUUCGGAGCAACUGCAGUAAAAGCAUUUUUUUUAUUUUUUUUUAAAAUGACCCCGUCAAAUGAACAGAUUCUUUGACAAACCAAUGAAUUUUCAUCCUUGCUAUGACGAAUGCAACCGCUCAGGAAAUUCACAGACGACAUUUUGCAACUGAAGCAGGAGAUUGGGCCAGGGACAGCCAGGAGGGGAGGAAGUAAAGGGUAAAUGUGUGUGGGAAGAGAGCUGGUGAGGAAGUCACUGCCCCCCUAUACCCAAUAUGUGCCCACCCCACCCUCACACAUCCACUGGAGGGAGAAGAGGAGGCUAUGCUAGACCACAGACCACCCAGAGAGAGGGACACAGACAUGGAGACAGACAGACAUAAUAUCGACAUAUAGUCAGGCGGCACGAGAGCAAAUGAAGAUGUAAUGAGCGACAGAUUAAACACGAAGGGAGAGAGAAAUAGGACGCUCGACGGAAUGAAAAGGAAGAAAAACAGAGGAACGGAAAGAAUUUAAAAAAGACAAAAGAGGAAGCAAGAAAAGAAAAAAAUACAGUCAGUCGACGGUGGUUCCUUCAUGCGGCAAGUGAGACUUUUUUCCUUCUUUGGACCUAAACGUCUUACUUUUUUUCAGUGACGCUUUGCACGUCUGUUCACUCCAUAUGUGUGCAAGUUUCAUGCCCCCAUAAAAAAAAAGAAAAAGAAGGUGUGCGGUGAAAAGCCAGCAGUCACCGAAAGUGGCGAGACGCCGCAGUCAUUUAAAUGUAGCCGCACUUCAGACGGUCUUUCCUGGGGGAAGACUGUCUCCACCCACUCAAUUAAAAUGUCAUGCUUAAUACAGUAAUGCAAACAUGAGUUAGAAAUUGGUCAAGCUGUCUUAUCUCGCAGUGACUCGUCACUCCAUGAUUCCCAUUACUCUCGAUACAGGCUACAUCCACAAACUACGUUGUUGCUGUACGACUCGUCACUGCUGCUGCGUUUUCGAGUGUCCGAGGGCCUAAAACUGAGAAGUUUGGAAACGCCGCUCGUCUCGGUUUAUUUCAAAAACUCUGGGGCCGCGUUAUGGUAUGGACGGAUAUUCCCUUCCUGAUUAUCUACUCUGCAGUUGGUGACUUUUAUGAACCAAUCGGCUUCCUUACACAGCACAUGGUCAGCGAAUGUGAACGAUCACGAGAUAUAUGUCUUCAGGCGUGUUCGAAUGAACCAGGAUUAAUUCUGAUAUGGAGCUCAGUGUUGUAGUCGAGACCACUUAAACCGAGAUCAAGACAAGUCAGGUUAUCAAUUUUACGUGAAAGAUCCACAUGAUCAUAAAAAGACCCACAUACAAACGAUAGAAAAUCAAUGUCACCAUUUUAAUUCAACAGGUGAUAUUUUAUUGAUGUAUUAUUUUCUUGUCAGAAUGCAUCAAGCAUUUAUUCAAUUUAACAUUUUCAAACUGUCAUACACAAACAAGCACACACUCAAAGAAUGAAUGGCAAAUCUCUCUCUUGCAUGUGCGCAAGCACACUGGCCCACGCACUCAGACUGUGUAAACUAUAUUAUAUAUUCACCAAUCAUACAGUCUCUUACUCUCACAUGCGUGCACGAGCGCAGCCGCGCGGUUUGAAGUAGUAGCAGCCGUGAAAGCUUGGUGAGUGCGCCAGAGUACCACCAGUCACUUUACUGGUUGGCAUCCAAUCAAUUAAUAAUUGCAUGAACAAGCAAAUCAGACAAUGCACUAGCAAUUUAGCGAUAUCCCCACGGUUGUGGUCCCGACCGGUCUUGACAUAAAAUCUCGAGACCUCUAGGUCCGAGGCCGAGACAAGACCGAGUAAAAAUGCAGUCGAUUCCGAGACAAGACCGAGACCUUUAAAAAGUGGUCUACUACAACACCAAUGGAGCUGAAAGCUAAAAACAACGUAUUAGUAUGGAUGUAGCCAAACUGAACUGGACGAGUUCCCCCCUCAGUCGACGAGAGCGUCAACCUGCUCUCUGGGAUUAAAAUAAAUCAUUGUGCAGCGUUCAAGUCGACCUGAUCGAUGAUGCUGCAGAUGUCUGCGACAAAAAAAUGAUCUUCUGUCAGUUUCCUGAAAAAGUUGCUUGAUCGAAGGCACAGUCAAAUAUGAUUAGGGUCAUCCCUGGUGAACAUAAUAUUACCUGUAAUUCUCAAGGUCAUAGAGGUGCUUUACACUCAAAGGAGUGGGAUGUCGCUGGACUGCGCGUGAAGUUUGUUCAUACCAAAGUCACGUGUACGAGUCACAUACACGAGGAACAUAUCUGUUCACGUUAGCCGCUCUUGAAUGAGACCUACGGAGACAGCAUGUAGAAACCAAAAAACGAUGAAAGAAGAAGAUCUAAAGGGCGGAAUAAGUUGACGCCAUGAAGGAAAUUCAACUUACAGACGAGCAGUCUGUCAGAAUGAAUGGAGGGAUCAGUGCUGUGACUUUGUUUCCAUGUGCUGUUGGUCCCAGAAGGAAAGAAAAAGAAAAAGCCUCUGUGCUGUUGUCUUUUAUUUCAAACAUGUCCAGAAACAAUGGAUGCCUGUCUGCCCAUGAGGCUUCUAUUCUCAAAGAACAGACAGAACUUCAGGAAGGAGGACGAGACCACUCCGCUCCGCUGCCACCUCCUGCCACUGAGAAUAAUAAGCACAAGGACACAUGACGUCACAUAACAUGCUCGCUCUCAUAAUCACAAAAUUCCGUACAGUUUUUUUUAAGGACUCAAUAACACAAAGAAUCUGUGGCAAGAUGAAGAUUUAUUCCAUGUAGUAUUAAAGAAUAUGUGCUUGACGUGUUCA